UCCUGCUUCCUCACUAUUGACCUUUGGUGCCUCCCUCUCCUCCCGGUACUCUGAUUCACCAUCUAUACAGUGUCUGCCUUAUAAGCUGUUGUGAAGACUAAUGCAACAGUCCUGCAAAGCAUCAUGAGAAAGGUUUACCACAGCUGCUCAAAGAAAAUAGACCCAGAAUAAGAAAUUUUCCAUUUGGAUUUGGGGAACCAGCAAAUUCACUGAAGUAUGAUCAAGAACAAACCAAUCAAAAUAAGGGAUGAAGGAAAAUGUUCUUAAUGGACACUUUAACAGGAGCAACAUGGCAGGCAUAGAAAUGACAACAUGGAAUCCCAAAAUUCUAAAG